GAUGAAGAACGUAGCGAAAUGCGAUAAGUAGUGUGAAUUGCAGAAUUCAGUGAAUCAUCGAAUCUUUGAACGCACAUUGCGCCCCUUGGUAUUCCAUGGGGCAUGCUUGUUCGAGCGUCAUUUGUACUCUCAAGCUCUGCUUGGUGUUGGGUGUUUGUCCUUUCCCUGCGUUAUGACUCGCCUCAAAUUCAUUGGCAGCCGAUAUAUUGGUUUGAAGCGCAGCACAAUUUGCGAUUCGGGCUGGUUAUUGUUGGCGUCCAGUAAGCACAUUUAACACUUUUGACCUCGGAUCAAGUAGGGAUACCCGCUGAACUUAAGCAUAUCAAUAAGCGGAGGA
rnacentral:misc_RNA from 1 species